GCAAACUUGGUCAUUUAGAGGAAGUAAAAGUCGUAACAAGGUUUCCGUAGGUGAACCUGCGGAAGGAUCAUUAAUAUGUUGACAGGUGUUGGCUGUGACAGUUUAUUGGCUGUGAAGCGGGGAGUAUGUGGUGGGUGUGCGGUGUUGUGCUGUGGUGCAAAGUACCCAGUACCGCGCGGCGCACAGCGCGGCACCCCGCCACACGACAACAUAGCAUAACGCGAACGCGAAAACACACGUUAAACAUUACAACUCCCAGCAGCGGAUCUCUUGGCUCCUGCAUCGAUGAAGAACGCAGC
rnacentral:misc_RNA from 1 species